rnacentral:rRNA from 1 species
UACGUAGGUGGCAAGCGUUGUCCGGAUUUACUGGGCGUAAAGGGUGCGUAGGCGGCCUAUUAAGUCAGGGGUGAAAGACGGUAGCUUAACUAUCGCAGUGCCUUUGAUACUGAUAGGCUUGAAUGUACUUGAGGUAGGCGGAAUGUGACAAGUAGCGGUGAAAUGCAUAGAUAUGUCACAGAACACCAAUUGCGAAGGCAGCUUACUAAAGUAUGAUUGACGCUGAGGCACGAAAGCGUGGGGAUCAAACAGG